GACGAACGCUGGCGGCGUGCCUAAUACAUGCAAGUAGAACGCUGAAGAGAGGAGCUUACUCUUCUUGGAUGAGUUGCGAACGGGUGAGUAACGCGUAGGUAACCUGCCUUGUAGCGGGGGAUAACUAUUGGAAACGAUAGCUAAUACCGCAUAACAAUGGAUGACACAUGUCAUUUAUUUGAAAGGGGCAAUUGCUCCACUACAAGAUGGACCUGCGUUGUAUUAGCUAGUAUGUGAGGUAAUGGCUCACCUAGGCGACGAUACAUAGCCGACCUGAGAGGGUGAUCGGCCACACUGGGACUGAGACACGGCCCAGACUCCUACGGGAGGCAGCAGUAGGGAAUCUUCGGCAAUAGGGGCAACCCUGACCGAGCAACGCCGCGUGAGUGAAGAAGGUUUUCGGAUCGUAAAGCUCUGUUGUAAGUCAAGAACGGGUGUGAGAGUGGAAAGUUCACACUGUGACGGUAGCUUACCAGAAAGGGACGGCUAACUACGUG
rnacentral:rRNA from 1 species